GUGUCGUAAAACCUUUGUCACAGUUUCUCCAUGGCUAUUUUAUUGUUUUUAUUGGAUGUUUUGAUUUUGUAUUUUUUUGGAUUCGAUUUUCUUAGUGUGUAGUGUCGGUUUAGUGUUUAUUUUGAUUACUUUUUAUUUAAAAACUAUAAAACAUGGUUCGUCAGUGCCAAAUUUGUAAGAAAUUGGACUAUUUAAGUCCUGGAACAACAUUCCACAGAUUAUGCUGCCAAAGUUUCCUGAAUACAAUUCCGACCACUCUGUAUAUCAAGAUAUCCCCCAUUACGUACUAGUUUUUCUUAAUAAUUUUCUAUACAUUUUCCAACGCCAAGAUGUACCAAGCGCAUACAAAUACAUCAAGCUUCAAACAAGCUUGCACGUUGACAGUAAUACCUACAGUAAUAUUGUAUUAUAUUAAUGUAAUAUUUUUGAACCAAUGUUCAAUAUUACUGUAGUAAUACUGUUUAUACUCAUGCCUUUUAUAUUUGUUUGAAUUUGGUGCAUAUUUCCAUUGAAUAAAGUAUAGUCACCAUUACCAUUAUUAUACUUACUCUAUAAUAAAGACAGUAACGAGUUAAA